rnacentral:tRNA from 9 species
GCCGGGAUAGCUCAGUUGGUAGAGCAGGGGACUGAA